CCAAAAAAUUAGGAAAUGUUCAGAAAUUAGUUUUUGGCUUAAUUUCACUAGAUCUAAGUGUUUAAUCUCAUUCUAGACUUAGUUUAAAACUUGUAAAAAUUGAAAAACCCUCUAAAAAAUUCCCAAAAAUCGGAUAAGCCAUUAGGGCUUUACUUUAGGGCUUUUGAUUGCAUUUUCUUUUUAGAGACGAUGCUAGGUCGCUGGUUGUUUAUUUCUUCGUAAUUAUCUGGUUGCACGCUUUUAAUACAUUGAUUGUUGUUUUCUAUUUUUAGAACGGUUAGGUGAGAUCUUAGCUUUUUUUAUAGAUUACCUGGUACGUUAGUUUGCGGAAAUUCAAGUUUAGGUACUGAAAGGACACUAGUUAGAUCGUUAGUGUAAUCAAGUCCCUGAAUUUUAGGAUCUCUGAUUUUUGCACUUAUUGAGACGACACUCCCGCAUCUCAAUCAAGGUUUUUAGCCAACCCUUGAUUAUGGCUAGUGGCGACUCCAAUCGAAUGCGUAAAUUAAAAAAUUCUCAUCAUGCGAGGUAUGAGACUUGGGAGUGCCUCGGUCUUUGGAUUAAUGAACCAUUUGGUUUGUCUUUCAAACAAAUCAAUCGUUGUUCAUAUCCAUCAACAAAUACUUCUUGGCCUAAACCCGAUCGGGACAGGGGGUAAGUCGCGACACACUCCUGCAACUUUAGCACACAAAAUCUCCAUACCCAAUAUCUUCUUAGCAACACCUAAAUCUAUUAUUUCAAACUCAACACUCAACUGCCAUUUCAGCACAUCAAUAUCAAACAUUGGUUUAGUUGCUAUUAACAUGUCAUCAACAUACAAUAACAAAUAAAUCAACUACCAAUGUUCAAAUCUCCUAAAAUAAACAUAGCAAUCCAACUGACUUUUUGAAUAAUCAUGACUAGCCAUAAAAGUAUCAAAACACUUAUACGACUACCUAGGAGAUUGUUUCAAUCCGUACAAAGAUUUCUAUAAUAAGCAAACAUAGUCUUCCUUACCCAGAAUAACAAAUCCUUAUGUAAAUUCGCUCCUCCAACUCAUCGUAAAGAAACGCCGUUUUUAUCUCAACUACUCCAAUCCGAGAUUUUGAGCAGCAACUAAGACAAGUGCUAGAUGAAUAGAAAUAUGUCUUACUAUAGGAGAGAACGACUCAUUAUAGUCAAUACCGUCUCGCUGAGUAUACCCCUUUGCAAUAAGUAUUGCCUUGUACCUUGCUGCCUCGAUUGUUUUGCACCCGACAAUCUAUCUCUACCUCAUCACCUAGAGUCAACACAUAGGCAAUAUCUAAAUAACCAUAACGUACCUGUGGUUUUAUUUGCCUUCUUUGUCUUCCCUUGGAAAUACUAUGUUGCGGCUCUGCUAGUUGUUUUGCAUCACUGUCAUCAGGAAAUGCAGCCUCAUUUGUAGUCUCAUCCUCUAUUACUUCUAAGGUCUCUAAAGGCUUCACCUAAAGCUCCAACACACUAUCAACACCAUGAUGCGCUUGCUUUGCUGGUUGUGUCUCAAGACCCCUCUUUCAAACCAUAGCAGUCUCAUAGAAUCUAGGUGUUCUGGGAUUAGUGAACCCUAGCCGGUAACCUUUCAUUUCUUGUGCAUAACCCAUAAAUAAGCAAUUCUUCCCCCUCAUCUCAAGCUUACCAUCACUCACAUGAGUAUACACUGGAAAUCCGAAUAUUCGUAAUUCGGAGUAAUCAACAAGAUUCACUGACCAUACUUCCUUAGGAGUUUCCACUCGAUAACAAAUGAUGGACAUCAAUUAAGUAGGUACCAUGCCAUGUCACUACUUCGACCCAAAAUUCCUUGCCAAUCCUAAGUGCGAGAGUAUGCGCCGAGCUCGCUCAAGUAGAGUUCUGUUCUUACAUUCUACAACGCCAUUCUACUGUGGUAUCCUGAAAAUUAUGCGGUAUCUCGCAAUCCUUUCUUUCUAGCAGAACUCGGUAAAAUCGUUACCAAAGAACUCCAUGCCAUUAUCGAUUCUCAAACACUUAUUAGUUUACUAGACUUCUUCUCAAUCAGUGUCUUAAAAUUCUUGAACCGAUGGAACACCUCGGAUUUGUACUUUAGGAAGUAUACUUAUACCUAGCUCGAAUAAUCUUUAGAGGUGGCAAAAUGGGUUUAACUCAUCUUUAAUGGUGUAGGUCAUAAAUGGGUUACCUAACAACUUAAUGGGACUUAAAUGGGUUUCAAAUGGAUCAUAAAUGGGUAGCCUAACUAGUUUAAGUGAAUCAUAAACAAAUCAUUUUCAAUUUUUUUCAAUUUUUUGAUUUUUGAUUUUUUUAAAUUUUAUUUUUAAAAAAAUUAUAAUAAUUAUUCACUAGAUUUGUAUUGCAUUGAAGUGUUUUACCAAUAUAAAUUUUAUAAAAGAUCAUAAGAAACUAGUUUUUUCUAAAUUUGGUUAAAUAUGGAAGAGUUUUAGCAAUAUGGAUUGAGUUGGAUAUAGGCCGAGAAAUUUGCACUGUGAAUACAUGGGUCAUAAACAGGUUAAUGAGUCAAUUUGGGUUGGAACAUUUAUGACCCAACCCAAACUCAACUCGACUCGACUCACUCAUUUUACAAGUUUAAUAGUCGUUAAUGAAUGUUAGCAUAUAUUGGACACCGCCUUUCAAAGGAAUUGGAGAUGGGCCCCAUACAUUUGAGUAAAUUUAUUCAACUAGUUUCUUGGUUGAAUGAAUAGCUAUACUAAAUUUAAUUCGGCACCGCUUCCUAAAGAUAUAGUGCUCACACAAAUCCAGCUUCCUUAUCUUCUAACCCUUCACCAACUAUCUCUCACUCAGCAUCGUCAUACUUGCCUCACUCAUGUGCUAUAAUCACAUGUACCAUAACUAAGUCGAUUUUGUGUCUAACUCAACUAAUGAAAUUAUAGCAGCUCCAUUCACGAUCUUUCCCAAUUCUCCUGGCACCUCGAGAGAAAUAAGGUUCAUCUUGAGCUUUCACUUUUGUCAGUGUGCACUUUACGCCAUUGUGCAUCUAAAUUCAAACUCUCUAUCCCACAAUCUUGCAGACUGUAUUAUUUGCCAUCAAAAACACUACCACCAUCUAUAGCUCUGUCGGUAAUGAACCAGUUUCGAUGAGGCGUCAUAUAAUAGGAACACCUCUAAUCUAGGACUCGUUCGUCUCCAGUCGAACUAGUAGUCACACAUAAAACAAACUUGGCAUCAGUAGUACUCUCCUAGGCAACAUUUGCCACACUGCUUGAAACAUUAUGCCCAUCGUUUUUAUUUCUCAACUUUUGACAGUCUCUCCUCAUGUGUCCCUCUUCGUGACACUCAAAACAGUUAAACCCGACCCUUGGAAUUUCUAUGUCGCAAUUUUGAUAUGUUUUUAGCUUUGCUGCUAGACCUCCAACGUCAGACCAUCAUCUCGCAACUUCCUCUGCCACUUCUUAGAGAAUCAGACUGAUUUUACCUCUUCUGUGUAGUACGUGCUUGCAAUAGUGAGUCAAUAAAGUGCUUCUACGACGUUGGUAGAGACACCAAUAGCUUCAUGCCUUAUUUUUCAUCAUCUAGUAUCUCACCGACGUUCUUCAAAUUCAUCAUGAGUUUGUUGAACUCAUCUAGGUGAGCUUCGUUGGAUGUACCUUUAGUAUAAUGAAACUGAAACAUUCUCUUCAGCAUGUAUAACUGAUUUUUCAAACCCAUUGUUACAUAGAGGGUCUAGAGUUUUUCCCAUAGUGUCAUGGCAUCCUUCUUCUCAGCCACCUCUAUUAACACUUCAUCCGAUAGGUUCAACAGGGUCGUACUCCUUGUCUUCCCCAUUAAUUCUUCCUUUUCAACAUCUUUCAUUAUUUUGGGCUACUUUUCCAUACCCUCCAAUGCAUUGGCUAAAUCUUGAGUUGUUAAUAGCACAUACAUCUUAACACUUCACAAUCCAAAGUUCGUGUUGAAAAAAUCCCCUAUGUUGUUCUAAAGAAAUAAUCAAAUACUACUAAUGUGUGUAUUGAUUGAGAAGUACCAGGUGAAAUAUGCACAAGCCAAUAUGCAAAUGAUGUCAUUAUUAGCACCUAGUGAUUUUACUAUAAGGAGCGCUUGCCACUAUCAAGAGUGCUUUCCUAAUAUCGAUGGAUUGCUACCGAUAUCAAGGGUGAACAAUGAAUUGGUGUCGAGAUGUUUACAAGCUAGAAGGACUUUGAGAUAAGGUGAAUAUCUUAAAAAACCUUAAUCGAGGGUGAACAAACUGAGAAGAAUGGGGAUGUUCGUGAUGACUUAGAGGUACUAAGAUUUGGUGAACAGAUUAGAUGGACAUGGUGAUGGUGAACAAGCCUAAAAUGAGAAUGUUCAGUAAAACUUGGAAGGACCAUGAAGGUGAAUGACUUGAUAGAGUCAUAAUCGCUAAUAUGCUUGGCAAGACCAGAAGAUAGAUAAGUUGAUCAUUAUCGGGAGCAGCAGAUUAUUAGUAGGAGCAGCUGCCAAUAUCAGAGAGGUGGAGGACAUGUGACGCCCUCUUUCCAAUCUCGAUUUGGUGUCUACCGGUUAUCUUUAAGGUUUAGAAUUCGAAAAAGAGCUGCAGAGUUGAUUGAGAGUAGUUCUCGCAUUAAUGAGUUGGAGACAGACCCAGACAAAAGUACACUGACACUAAUUUGGGAAACCGCCAUUGUCAGAGAGACGUUUCCGAUGACAGAAAGCCAUUCUAACGAAUUUGAGCGAGCUUUGUUGCAAGCAACGAUAGAACCAAUGGCUACUUGCAGAAUUUUUGUUGGGAACCAUCAUAUGAGGUUGGAUGUCUAUAUAUUCAAUCCAAGAAAAGUAGUGGCAUUGGGUGGAAACAAACAAAACUAAUUUAGUGCUUUGAGGGUUCUUCUUCGUUCUGUAUUUGUUUAUAGUUGUUGUGUAUUGAUGAUUACUCUAUGUGUAGUGUUCCUACUGUUUGUAAUCAUGAUAAGAACAACUGUAUAAGAUGAUAGCAGUACUUGCUUUUUGAUAGUGUGAUCUAUUAAUUGAUAGGAGCAGUAUGUGUUGAUUUCAA